UGAUUUCAAGAAGUGAACCUUCUAAGAAGUUUUACUAUCCAUCCUUCAUCCAUUCCUCAUUCAUUACGUCUUAGAAUCUUUUCACACUUUAUCUUUCAAACUUGACAUAAGUGUUGUGCAAACAUUUUCAUGUUUUUCUAACUAAAAACCUGGACUCAAGUCCUUGACUUUUUUUCAAACUCCAUUUCAUAAUACUUAUUUGAAUUAAUCUUAAUCAUACUUUGACUUCUAUUUUCAUAAUCAUAAUCAGUAACUCCACCCAUUCACUUGUUUUGG
rnacentral:lncRNA from 1 species